rnacentral:rRNA from 1 species
AUUGAACGCUGGCGGCAUGCCUUACACAUGCAAGUCGAACGGUAACAGGUUAAGCUGACGAGUGGCGAACGGGUGAGUAAUAUAUCGGAACGUGCCCAGUUGUGGGGGAUAACUACUCGAAAGAGUGGCUAAUACCGCAUGAGACCUGAGGGUGAAAGCGGGGGAUCGCAAGACCUCGCGCAGUUGGAGCGGCCGAUAUCAGAUUAGCUAGUUGGCGGGGUAAAAGCCCACCAAGGCGACGAUCUGUAGCUGGUCUGAGAGGACGACCAGCCACACUGGGACUGAGACACGGCCCAGACUCCUACGGGAGGCAGCAGUGGGGAAUUUUGGACAAUGGACGCAAGUCUGAUCCAGCCAUGCCGCGUGUGGGAAGAAGGCCUCGGUU